ACAGCAGUAGCCGCGGGAAUACGAAGGGGGCUAGCGUUGCUCGGAAUGACUGGGCGUAAAGCGCGCGUAGGCGGCUUUUUAAGUCAGAGGUGAAAGCCCGGGGCUCAACCCCGGAAUUGCCUUUGAAACUGGAAAGCUAGAAUCUUGGAGAGGUCAGUGGAAUUCCGAGUGUAGAGGUGAAAUUCGUAGAUAUUCGGAAGAACACCAGUGGCGAAGGCGACUGACUGGACAAGUAUUGACGCUGAGGUGCGAAAGCGUGGGGAGCAAACAGGAUUAGAUACCCCAGUAGUCCCUGUCUCUUAUAC
rnacentral:rRNA from 1 species